GGGGAUUUAGCUCAGCGGCAUAAGCACCUGCCUUACAAGCAGGUGGUCAUGGGUUCGAUCCCCGGUACCG
rfam:Cavia porcellus supercont2_35 genomic scaffold, whole genome shotgun sequence.